AUGCAUCUGACCGAGGGGUUCGGUCUGCUCCACGCCUCCCCCCCCCCCCCGUUUGCAGCGGGGAGGACCGGAGCUGUGGACGUGGCGGAUGGACCCGUUGGAAGCAUAAAUGGACUGCGCCGGCGGGGACGUCACGAUGCGUCGUCGCCACAAAGCUCAUGAACGCGCUCAUUUGGCUCCAAGCAUGCCGCACACCCGGAGGGACCACGGCUUUGCGGGAGACCCCCUAAAAACCCACCCUGCAGCACCCGACGAGGAAAAAAACUGAAGAUCCAGAGAUCCUUCAUACCUCCAGGUGAAUAUGACUGACAGAAACUCCCACAGUCCCUCCGCAUUAUGGUGCAAACUUUUCAAAGAAAAAGCGGUGACAGAAGUCAGUCUGGAUGGGAUUGCCCCUGGAAACUGUCGUUAAAUCCGGUCGUUUUGUGCACGGUGCAUCUGAGAGGUUUUGUUAGCUGUUUUUUCCUGCUGGAGAGCUUCGUCCGCAGGCCUGAGGGGUUGUCUGUUAUCUUUGGUUAUCUAGCUGUAUGAGUGACGUAUAUUCUUCAUAAAGCUAGAUAACCGAAAGUAACAAGAAUCCCAUUACACGCCUGCACAGGAAAACAACGCGGAAAAAAAGAGCCCGGCCGAGGAUCAGCAGCAGAUAGGGCUGGAGUUGGACAGCAGCUGCUACUAACCAAUGAUGUGAAGGUUUCUGAUCUGACCAGAGCUGUGGGGCACGAGAGGACUUUAACUGAGCCACUGAUACCAGUUUCAAAAAGGACAAAAAUGUUUAAACCACAGCGAUUAAUCUGAGGAAAGGAUCUCAAACACAACAGCCCGGUGGGGGGCGGUUUAGGCGCUCACAUUGGAUACAGAAGAUGCUGUCUGAACGAUAUAUUGGACAUGUCAAAGCUGAAGGACAGAGUCAUGGAUUUUGCAUGCGGGUGUUGAAAGAUGCAUUCUGGGAAGCUGCUCUGCACAUCUGUUCAGAAACAUCUGCACCAGAUUUUAAUGUAGGUCAGAGCUCAGAUAAGCAUCUCUCUCACAUACAAACAAAUAAAAAGCUAAAAUUUAGCUGAGAGGUCACUCACAUGUAUGCAUUUUCAUGUAAAAAAGUUGAAAUACUGACAGAAUUGGUGAUUUUCAAUAGUCAACUUUUAGAUGAGUUAUUUUAGGAAGAAAAUUACUUUAUUUUCUUAAUCUUAAUUUCUUCUUUAAUUGAUUUUUUUAAAGCUUAGCAUAUAAGUCUUUUACUUAGUGUGAAUCUGAAUGUUUCAGUUUGUUGACAAUCCUAGGACUUAUUAUAACAAUCAUCUACAGCUGAAUUUUCUGACUGCGUGUCAAAUGUAUUGUGAUUAUUUAUUUUAUUAACUCGUGUUUCAGGAUAAAAUUUGAAUAUUUCUGUUUAUUGACAGGGAAUUUGCAAAAAGAUUCUUUGAAUCUCCUUUUUUCAAAUUUGAAUAUGCAUCAGUAUCAUAAGGCUGGAGCAACCUCAGCAGUCUUUUACAAUCUACUUCUAACUGUGUUCAUGUUGCACACUUACUCAGCAGGGAUUUUGUUGCGUGCAAACAAUCAAAACUACAUGACAUUAAUUUUAACUAUGCAAAGAAAAGAAAAUGUCAAAUUUACUACAUUUUUGUAGUCUUUGUUAUUCAGAAGAGUUUACACCGAGCUGUUAGAUUUGCACUGAAGAGCAUUAAUGUUCAGGCUUGAUUGCAUGAGUAGCAUGUUAAUUGGAGGUACAUUACUAAUAUACACUAUAUUGCACUACAUGAGCACAAUGCAAUGUUAUAAAGUUAUGUGAGUAGAGACCGAUAUUAAAGGAGGAUCUGUAGUGUUCGACUGAUUCAGCCUCUACAGUCAGUCUUUGAAACUUGUUCCACCAAUAAUGUAAUAAUUACUGCUUGUGACAAAUGUUUUAUUGUAAUGUGAACUUGAGUAAAUAGGUGCAACUCAUUUUAAGCAGAAAAAACCCUUUUAGAAGGACUAAUGCAUGUUACACAAUAUUGCACUAUGAAUAAUUGUCUCUCAGGAGUUUUAGAAGUUCAGUGUGCACAUAACCUAGUCUGUACUAUGCAACUGUGUCUAAUGUAAAUCAAUAAAAGUGUUAACAAUAAGGCAUCGCU